rnacentral:rRNA from 1 species
UCCUGGCUCAGGACGAACGCUGGCGGCGCGCCUAACACAUGCAAGUCGAACGGGACUAUGCGAGAUGAAGUUUUCGGAUGGAAUUUUGUAUAGUUUAGUGGCGGACGGGUGAGUAACACGUGAGCAACCUGCCUUCGAGAGGGGAAUAACGGCUGGAAACGGUCGCUAAUACCGCAUAACAUACAGGAGGGACAUCCCUUUUGUAUCAAAGAUUUAUCGCUCGAAGAUGGGCUCGCGUCCGAUUAGGUAGUUGGUGAGGUAACGGCCCACCAAGCCGACGAUCGGUAGCCGGACUGAGAGGUUGAACGGCCACAUUGGGACUGAGACACGGCCCAGACUCCUACGGGAGGCAGCAGUGGGGGAUAUUGCACAAUGGGGGAAACCCUGAUGCAGCGACGCCGCGUGUAGGAAGACGGUCCUCUGGAUUGUAAACUACUGUCCCCAGGGACGAAGAUGACGGUACCUGGGGAGGAAGCUCCGGCUAACUACGUGCCAGCAGCCGCGGUAAUACGUAGG